UCGACGAAGGAAAGAUGAUAAAUUUUGGGCAUAACCAAUUCUUCAGGCACUUUGAUUAGACUGCUGUUCGCGAAGGAAGUGUUCAGACUAUGGAUUCGAGGACGAAAGACGGUUGAGAGUAGCAUAUGUAUUAUAUGUACUGAAAAUGGAAGGUAGAAGUAUUUCAAGCAUACUGCCUUGAGAACAACAGUACACAAGGGGUUUUAUUUUCGCCGAAAAGGUGAAUGAUUUGGUAUUUCAAACGGAAGAGAACAAAAAAAAUUACUGCUCAUGUCACUCAAGAGAUCUUGACUAUCCAGUUGUCCAGACUACCAUAGCAUGGCUUUUGGAAACCAAGAAAAUGUUUUGUUCAAGGUUAAGCACAGCCAAUAUGCAACUGCUCUGUCCGAAGCCGAUGGAGCUUAAUUUAUAUCAAAAGGCAUCAGGAACCCACCAUUGCCGGCAUCAGCUUCAGAGAUUGUCCAAUGCAGUAAGACGCAAGCUAAGCAGACUUCAUCCCAAUAAUCUGUAAUAACGGUUACGUCAAGUGUCCUGUCAAUCCAACUAAGAUGUGUGGAGAAUAGUAAUCCAGGUGCGGAUUAUAUGUUGUAUUACUUCAGCAGUUCAAAGCAAUAAGGCCUCGGUUGCAUGGAGAAUCUCGGAAUGUUUGAGGCAACAUAGAUAUUAUACUAGCACUGGCUAUGAUUGUCUAUAGAAUAAAGGAGCAACCAGUAACGGACCUUUUUUAGGGCUGCCGUGUCAUGCUGUAAACAUACGACGGAACAGCUCGAGGCAUAGAAAAAUUCAGCCCAUCCCAUGAUGAACCGCUUCAUCAUCAAAAGGGGCAUCCAAAGUGGAGAGCGGAACAAAAACUUAGACCUCGUCGGAAAUGGAUGUACAAGCUGUGCAAUUUCAGGGACAUUAUCCAACAUUGGCUAACGUGACGAUAAUCAGGCUACAAAAACUCACGUAGCCGUCUGGCAAUAAAAUCGUCCAAAUCUGCGUCCCUGCCAAUGAACAAGAUUAUCAGAAACACCGCCAUGGUAUGUGCUUACAAAUAGUUUUCCUUUUUCAGUUAUGUCAUGCAGUUGUGAUUGCAAGGUGGCUUGAUUGAUUUGUCCCGUCAUACGUAAUGCCAAAUUAUUUGUGGAAUGUAGUCUUUUGAUAGGAGUGCGUGACAUAAAUCUCGAUCUAAAAGGGGCGUUUCCAUUCAGGUAACAAGC